rnacentral:rRNA from 1 species
GUGGGGAAUCUUCCGCAAUGGACGAAAGUCUGACGGAGCAACGCCGCGUGAGUGAAGAAGGUUUUCGGAUCGUAAAGCUCUUUCGUUAGGGACGAACGUGCUCUUUGUGAAUAAUGAGGAGUAAUGACGGUACCUAAAUAAGAAGCCACGGCUAACUACGUGCCAGCAGCCGCGGUAAUACGUAGGUGGCAAGCGUUGUCCGGAAUUAUUGGGCGUAAAGCGCGCGCAGGCGGGAUAUCAAGUCUGUCUUAAAAGUGCGAGGCUCAACCUCGUGAGGGGACAGAAACUGGUAUUCUUGAGUGUCGGAGGGGAAAGUGGAAUUCCAAGUGUAGCGGUGAAAUGCGUAGAUAUUAGGAAGAACACCAGUGGCGAAGGCGACUUUCUGGACGAAAACUGACGCUGAGGCGCGAAAGCCAGGGGAGCGAACGGGAUUAGAAACCCGUGUAGUCC